rnacentral:rRNA from 1 species
AGUGAACGCUGGCGGUAGGCCUAACACAUGCAAGUCGAACGGCAGCACAGUAAGAGCUUGCUCUUACGGGUGGCGAGUGGCGGACGGGUGAGGCAUACAUCGGAAUCUACUUUUUCGUGGGGGAUAACGUAGGGAAACUUACGCUAAUACCGCAUACGACCUACGGGUGAAAGCAGGGGAUCUUCGGACCUUGCGCGAUUGAAUGAGCCGAUGUCGGAUUAGCUAGUUGGCGGGGUAAAGGCCCACCAAGGCGACGAUCCGUAGCUGGUCUGAGAGGAUGAUCAGCCACACUGGAACUGAGACACGGUCCAGACUCCUACGGGAGGCAGCAGUGGGGAAUAUUGGACAAUGGGCGCAAGCCUGAUCCAGCCAUCCCGCGUGGGUGAAGAAGGCCUUCGGGUUGUAAAGCCCUUUUGUUUGGAAAGAAAAGCAGCAGGUUAAUACCCCGCUGUUCUGACGGUACCCAAAGAAUAAGCACCGGCUAACUUCGUG